UAUCGUGACACGCUGAAUCGAAAGAGCGGGGGAACCACUUUUUGGGGUGAAUCGCAGAACAUGCGUAGGGCUAAUUCCACUGCCCGAAUCCGUCAGCUAACCUCGUAAGCGUUGUGGAAAGGGGGA
rnacentral:sRNA from 2 species